ensembl:misc_RNA 7SK 7SK RNA
GGACGUGAGGGUGACAUGACAGCAAUAUCUGUCACCAAUUGAUCCCCAGGGUUGGUUUGGCUGAUCUGGCUGGCUAAGCAGGUGUCCCCUUCCUCACUGCUCCAUGUGUAUCCCUCCCAAAGAUGUGCACUUGGUCAAUGAGAAUGACCUUCCCUGAUAGAGGAAGAACCUUCUUCAGUCAAGGGUAUAUGGGUAGCAAGCAGCACGCCCCUACCAGGACCUCCCAGCCAGCUCUUUGAUAAGAAAAGCCACCAGGUGGCCACAUACAAACUGGUCAUAACUGCCACUUACUGAUGUCUCCUGUGUGCCAGGCAUUUAAAU